rnacentral:rRNA from 1 species
CAGUCGCCACGGUAAUACGAAGGGUGCAAGCGUUAAUCGGAAUUACUGGGCGUAAAGCGUGCGUAGGCGGUUUGUUAAGUCUGCUGUGAAAUCCCCGGGCUCAACCUGGGAAUGGCAGUGGAUACUGGCAAGCUAGAGUGUGUCAGAGGAUGGUGGAAUUCCCGGUGUAGCGGUGAAAUGCGUAGAGAUUGGGAGGAACAUCAGUGGCGAAGGCGGCCAUCUGGGACAACACUGACGCUGAGGCACGAAAGCGUGGGGAGCAAACAGGAUUAGAUACCCCCGUAGUCCCUGUCUCUUAUAA